rnacentral:lncRNA from 1 species
ACUGGAAUCACCUGAUUUGAAAGUGGGAUAACUUCUCCAUCCCAACUCCUAUGAGAUUUAUUCAACUUCCUGGUGAUUCUCCUUCGCUUUAUGUAUCAAAAUCAAGCUUCUUACAAAGUGAUUCAUCCUGGUUUGAUUGCAACGACUAAGAAGCUGUCCGAUUCCCAAACUGCAAAACUGUUAUCACCUGAUUUGAAAGUGGGAUAACUUCUUCAUCCCAACUCCUAUGAGAUUUAUUCAACUUCAUGGUGAUUCUCCACCAAUUUAUAUAUUCAAAUCAAGAUUCUGACAAAGUGAUUCAUCCUGGUUUGAUUGGAACAACGAAGAAGCUGUCGUAUUCCCAAACUACGAAACUGGAAUCACCUGAUUUGAAAUUGGGAUAACUUCUUCAUCCCAGCUCCUCUGAGAUUUAUUCAACUACCUGGUGAUUCUGCACCAC